AACGAACGCUGGCGGCAUGCCUAACACAUGCAAGUCGAACGAGACCUUCGGGUCUAGUGGCGCACGGGUGCGUAACGCGUGGGAACCUGCCCUUAGGUUCGGAAUAACUCCCCGAAAGGGGUGCUAAUACCGGAUAAUGUCUUCGGACCAAAGAUUUAUCGCCUUUGGAUGGGCCCGCGUUGGAUUAGCUAGUUGGUAGGGUAAAAGCCUACCAAGGCGACGAUCCAUAGCUGGUCUGAGAGGAUGAUCAGCCACACUGGGACUGAGACACGGCCCAGACUCCUACGGGAGGCAGCAGUGGGGAAGAUUGGACAAUGGGCGAAAGCCUGAUCCAGCAAUGCCGCGUGAGUGAUGAAGGCCUUAGGGUUGUAAAGCUCUUUUACCCGGGAUGAUAAUGACAGUACCGGGAGAAUAAGCUCCGGCGAACUCCGU
rnacentral:rRNA from 1 species